rnacentral:rRNA from 1 species
GUGGGGAAUAUUGGACAAUGGGCGAAAGCCUGAUCCAGCCAUGCCGCGUGUGUGAAGAAGGUCUUCGGAUUGUAAAGCACUUUAAGUUGGGAGGAAGGGCAGUAAGUUAAUACCUUGCUGUUUUGACGUUACCGACAGAAUAAGCACCGGCUAACUUCGUGCCAGCAGCCGCGGUAAUACGAAGGGUGCAAGCGUUAAUCGGAAUUACUGUGCGUAAAGCGCGCGUAGGUGGUUUUGUAAGUUGGAGGUGAAAUCCUCGGGCUCAACCUGGGAACUGCCUCCAAAUCUGCAUGACUAGAGUACGGUAGAGGGUAGUGGAAUUUCCUGUGUAGCGGUGAAAUGCGUAGAUAUAGGAAGGAACACCAGUGGCGAAGGCGACUACCUGGACUGAUACUGACACUGAGGUGCGAAAGCGUGGGGAGCAAACAGGAUUAGAUACCCCGGUAGUCC